rnacentral:rRNA from 1 species
CAGUAGCCACGGUAAUACGUAGGUGGCAAGCGUUGUCCGGAAUUAUUGGGCGUAAAGGGCUCGCAGGCGGUUUCUUAAGUCUGAUGUGAAAGCCCCCGGCUCAACCGGGGAGGGUCAUUGGAAACUGGGAAACUUGAGUGCAGAAGAGGAGAGUGGAAUUCCACGUGUAGCGGUGAAAUGCGUAGAGAUGUGGAGGAACACCAGUGGCGAAGGCGACUCUCUGGUCUGUAACUGACGCUGAGGAGCGAAAGCGUGGGGAGCGAACAGGAUAGAUACCCCUGUAGUCCCUGUCUCUUAUACA